UACGGGGGGGGCAAGCGUUGUUCGGAAUUACUGGGCGUAAAGGGCUCGUAGGCGGCCAACUAAGUCAGACGUGAAAUCCCUCGGCUUAACCGGGGAACUGCAUCUGAUACUGGAUGGCUUGAGUUCGGGAGAGGGAUGCGGAAUUCCAGGUGUAGCGGUGAAAUGCGUAGAUAUCUGGAGGAACACCGGUGGCGAAGGCGGCAUCCUGGACCGACACUGAUGCUGAGGAGCGAAAGCCAGGGGAGCAAACGGG
rnacentral:rRNA from 1 species